UCCUCUCUCCUCCCUCACCUGCUUCUUGCCUACUGACACCAUGGGUUGCUGUGGCUGUGGAGGUUGUGGUUGUGGCAGCUGUGGUGGCUGUGGCAGCUGUGGUGGCUGUGGCAGCUGUGGUAGCUGUGGUGGCUGUGGUGGCUGCGGUUGUUGUGGAAGCUGCUGUGGCAGCUGCUGUGGCUGUUGCUGCUGCAAACCUGUAGUCAUCUGCUGCCACCACACCUGCUGUGGCUCGUGUGGCUGUGGCUCCUGUGGCUGCGGCUCCUGUGGCUGUGGCUGUGGCUGUGGGAAGGGCUGCUGCCAGCAGAAGUGCUGCUGCCAGCAGAAGUGCUGCUGCAAGAAGCAGUGCUGCUGCUAGGUGCUGGUGCCCUAGUUGUAGUGUAGGUGCUGUUCCCCUGGUGAAUCUCAGUCUGCUGUCUGCAGAGUCGCGGUGUCAGUGGCUCAGUUACAGGUGGUGACCUCCUCCUGCAUGCUGUGCAAGGACCAGGAUGAAGGACAACAUGAUUACCAGGUUGGUAAGUUCAAGUGAUGGUUUCCACUGUGUUUUCUGCUUUAAACCUUUUUUUGAUCUCUGUGUUACUUCAUCCUUGUGAACUGCAUAGGAAAUGUCUCUUCUGUAGCCCGAGUUUCUCUAGACAAUGCCUUAAAGUUUAUUAAUAAAAUUCUAAAAUAA